GCUUCCUUAGCUCAACGGUCAGAGCGCCCGCCUGUCGAGCGGAUGGCUGCCGGUUCGAAUCCGGUAGGGAGCG
rnacentral:tRNA from 1 species